rnacentral:rRNA from 1 species
AACGCUGGCGGCGUGCCUAAUACAUGCAAGUCGAACGGCUUUUCUAUGGAAGCUUGCUUCCACUGAGAAGAUAGUGGCGAACGGGUGAGUAACACGUGGGUAACCUGCCCAUAAGAGGGGGGAUAACAUCCGGAAACGGGUGCUAAUACCGCAUAGUUUUCUUGAUCGCAUGAUCGGGAAAGGAAAGACGGCCUUUAUGCUGUCGCUUAUGGAUGGACCCGCGGCGUAUUAGUUAGUUGGUGAGGUAACGGCUCACCAAGACGAUGAUACGUAGCCGACCUGAGAGGGUGAUCGGCCACAUUGGGACUGAGACACGGCCCAAACUCCUACGGGAGGCAGCAGUAGGGAAUCUUCCGCAAUGGACGAAAGUCUGACGGAGCAACGCCGCGUGAGUGAAGAAAGGUUUUCGGAUCGUAAAACUCUGUUGUCAGAGAAGAACAAGUUGGAGAGUAACUGCUCCAGCCUUGACGGUAUCUGACCAGAAAGCCACGGCUAACUACGUGCCAGCCGCGGC